rnacentral:rRNA from 1 species
GGGCCAAUGGCGGAGGCUACACAUGCAGUCGAGCGUGAACAUCCUUCGGGGUGUGGAGAGCGGCGGACGGGUGAGUCCUUCGUGGGAACGUGCCUUUUGGUGGGGGACAACAGUUGGAAACGACUGCUAAUACCGCAUAAGCCAAUUUGGGAAAGCCUUCGGGCGCCGAAAGAUCGGCCCGCGUUAGAUUAGGUAGUUGGUGGGGUAACGGCCUACCAAGCCUACGAUCUAUAGCUGGUCUGAGAGGAUGAUCAGCCACACUGGGACUGAGACACGGCCCAGACUCCUACGGGAGGCAGCAGUGGGGAAUAUUGCGCAAUGGGGGAAACCCUGACGCAGCCAUGCUGCGUGGGUGAAGAAGGCCUUCGGGUUGUAAAGCCCUUUCAACGGUGAAGAUGAUGAUUGUAGCCGUAGAAGAAGCCCCGGCUAACUUCGUGCCAGCAGCCGCGGUAAUACGAGGGGGGCUAGCGUUGUUCGGAAUUACUGGGCGUAAAGGGCGCGUAGGCGGACUGUCCAGUCAGGGGUGAAAUCCCGGGGCUUAACCUCGGAACUGCCUUUGAUACUGACAGUCUAGAGUCUGUGAGAGGAUGACGGAAUACCCAGUGUAGAGGUGAAAUUCGUAGAUAUUGGGUAGAACACCGGUGGCGAAGGCGGUCAUCUGGCGCAGCACUGACGCUGAGGCGCGAAAGCGUGGGGAGCGAACAGGAUUAGAUACCCUGGUAGUCCACGCCGUAAACGAUGUGUGCUAGCCGUCGGGAGUUAGGCUCUCGGUGGCGCCGCUAACGCAUUAAGCACACCGCCUGGGGAGUACGGUCGCAAGAUUAAAACUCAAA